rnacentral:lncRNA from 1 species
CAAAAUACGCCUUUUAUAUGAACUACGCGACGUUGGCGAACUGACAUAAGAACGUGGACGAGCGUUGGCGACUCGAGACGUUGGCGAACUGACCGUUGGCGAAACGACUCGUUGGCGAAACGACCGGAUACCCUCCCAACAGUAUGUUUAUAAUAAUGGAAAUGUUUUUCCAGAAAUCUUGUUUGGAUCACUAGAAAUUUUAUUUUCUAACAUUUCCCACAUGUGUACCCAAACCAAAACAGCAGGCUAAUGUUUAACCCAGGGUUUGCACUAAUCUAGCUUUGAACAACUAGCCUCCGUAUUUUGCUG